AUUGACUCUCCACUAAAGUAUAACUAAUAAGAAAACCAACACUUCCAACCGAAAGGCGAUUCUUCGAUUUCUCUCUCCCGGGGAAAAGAACAACGAUUGAAAUAACAUACUAUUUUUUUACGCUCUCAUAUUUUCUGGGAUCCACGGUUACACCUUUCAAUUCAGACUUAAAGAGAGGAAAGAAGAAGGUGAAGAGUGAUAAAUUCUAACAAUAGGUUAAAAUGUCUGCGCUUUUCAAUUUCCAUUCAUUUCUUACUGUGAUACUUUUGGGAAUAUGUGCAUGCACUUACUUCAAGAUGCAAUUUCCAGCAAUCCUUGAACAGAGAACUGGAUUUCGUGGUUUUUUCUGGAAGGCGGCAAGAAUUGGUGAACGUUUAAGUCCGUGGGUAGGCAUGGGUUGUUUCAUGAUGGGUGUUUCAAUAAUCUUCUUCUAAGCUUUAUUUCCAUCUACUCAAUAUUCAGCAUUGUUGAUCAUGGUAGCAUUUAUCCUGGGAAGGGGGUGUUGGGGACCUUGUUGGGGUUGAUUUGUAGCGAAGGGAAAGGCCAUAAGUAGAAUAAGCUAAUUUACGGAUGGAAACUUGGAAAGGGCAUCUAUUCUAGGCUCUACUUCAGUUUUGUAUGCUACAUGGUCUGCAGAUCUACAAUAUGAGAGUUUGUUGGAGCACCUGAAACUCCACUGUUUGGCUCUUUUUCUGUAUAGCAGCUCGAAUCCGGCUAACCAUUUUUUCACUUUGUAACUUAAUCUUAUUCAGACACUGAAAUUGUAUUUGUAGAAUUUGCUUGCCCUUUCGUUAGGUUGAAUUUUUUUCUGUUCAUCCCUCCAGUAUACUUUGUACGAAGGAACUCAAAUAGCUGUUUUCUUCAUUCCAAAAUUUUGGUAGUUUAAGUAUUUUAUUUCAAAA